GAAAUGCGAUAAGUAAUGUGAAUUGCAGAAUUCAGUGAAUCAUCGAAUCUUUGAACGCACCUUGCGCUCCUUGGUAUUCCUUGGAGCAUGCCUGUUUGAGUAUCAUGAAAUCUUCAAAGUAAAUCUUUUGUUAACUCAAUUGGUUUCUACUUUGGUAUUGGAGGUCUUUGCAGCUUCACACCUGCUCCUCUUUGUUCAUUAGCUGGAUCUCAGUGUUAUGCUUGGUUCCACUCGGCGUGAUAAGUUAUCUAUCGCUGAGGACACUGUAAAAGGUGGCCAAGGUAAAUGCAGAUGAACCACUUCUAAUAGUCCAUUGACUUGGACAAUACUUUUAUGAUCUGAUCUCAAAUCAGGUAGGACUACCCGCUGAACUUAAGC
rnacentral:misc_RNA from 1 species